AACGAACGCUGGCGGCGGGCUUAACACAUGCAAGUCGAACGGAAAGGCCCUGCUUGCUUGUGGUGCUCGAGUGGCGAACGGGUGUAUAACACGUGAGUAACCUGCCCAUGACGUUGGGAUAACUUCAGGAAACUGGUGCUAAUACCUGAUAGGUGCGCCUGCUACUUGGUGGGCUUCGGAAAUCUUGGGCGGAUGGGGAUCGACUCGCGGGUUAUGAGCUUGUGGGUGGGCGAUUUGCUUACCAAGGCUUUGGCAGGUGGGCGGCCUGAGAGGGUGAACGGCCACAUUGGGACUGCGGUACGGACCAGACUCCUAUGGGAGGCAGUAGUGGGGAGUAUUGUACAAUGGGCGGAAGCGUGAUGAAGCAACGCCGCGUGCGGGAUGACGGCCAUCGGGUUGUAAACCGCUUUAGCCUGUGACGAAGCGUGAGUGACGGUAAUGGGUGAAGAAGCACCGGCUAACUACGUG
rnacentral:rRNA from 1 species